GUUCUAGAAUGCAUGGCACAGGUCGCAGAAUAUGGUAAAUUGUGCCCUAAAUAGUAUAAGGCUCCAUUGAUAGAGAAAUAGAGAAGAUUUUGUUUUGAAGAAUCCAUAGUGAGAUACUUCCAGGGAAGUGUGAACAACUUUGCAAGAAAUAAAUAGAGGAGAACUUGAAAAGGAUUGCUCCUCUCACAUGGACCACACCAAGUACUCUUCCUAGGAGAAUGAAACAUCACUUAGGAGACUGAAUUGAGAUGGACUGAGAAUUCACUUUAUUAGAAGAAACACCUUCAUUUUUCUCAUUAGUAAAUCUAACUAGACGGUGCUAUGCAGUCAUGAUCAUAUUCAUCUAGAUCUCACAUCUUUGCAAUUCAGGACCAAUGGGAUGCAUAAAUAUUACAUGAAUGUGUUCUAGUGGUAACUAUAAAGAAACACAAAUAAUUCGGGGCGCCUGGGUGGCCCAGCCAGUUGAGCGUCCGGCUUCAGCUCAUGUCAUGAUCUCACGGUUCAUGAGUUUGAGCCCUGCAUUGGGCUCUGUGCUGACAGCUCAGAGCCUGAAGCCUGAUUCGGAUUCUGUGUCUCCCUCUCUCUCUGCUCCUUCCCACUCAUGCUCUCUCUCUCUCUCUCCUUCAAAAAUAAAAACAUUAAAAAAAAUUAAAAAAAGAAACACAAAUACUUUGCCUAAAUCAGCACAUGAAACAUACACUUUGUAGAAACCAAUUCUUCAGUUAAAAAAAAAAAGGUAGGUGGAGUCAUGUUACUGUACUACUGAUUAAGUCCCUUCAAAUGCCUGAGAUCUAACUCCCUUGUUCAAUUUGUCAACUUGUCUCCCCAAUACUCAUUUUUGGUAUUAAAAAAAACACAUGACUUUUAUUAAAAUACUUGUCUAUGAUCCUUUAUGGAUGUCUUUAUGCUUUAUUUUCCUUCUACUUCCUGUAAAGUGUGACAUCUUAGCUCAGUGGAGGUAUAAAGUAAUUCAAGACUACUUGCCCUUCCCUUUCUCUACCUACUCAUAGGAAUGUGUUUGUACACCAAAUAUGAUGUCACAGUCUAGUUCACAAAAAGAUAAUGAUGUUAGAACUUAGUGCUAUAUCACGCUGUAUUCCCUCCCUUAAUGCUCCCAAGCACUGAGUGGGUGGUAAGAGGAGAGGUUAAGUGAGUAUUGGAACAUCAGACAUUAGCGAUUAUCUAAUCACAACACUGAAUCUCAUGGCUGAAAAGUCAGCUCUUUCCUCAACUUCUUUCAACUCUUCUAAUUUAUGAAAUAGGAAAAUUUGGUUUGUGUCUCAUUUGUCUCUAGUAAUAUCACUGUACCACUUGCUAAAUAAGUCUCUAUAGUUUCCUUAUCCUUAGAGAAGAGAUAAUAAAAUAUCCUCCCUCAAGCAGUUGUUGUCAGGAUCAAAUGUGGCAUCGUACACACAUAAAGUAUUUAAAAAACAGAGUGCCUCACACAUAAUAA